GAUAAAAUGGCUGAGGUUAUAGGCAAUAGAUUGUAAAUCUAUGAACAAGGUUUGUCCUUUUUUAUCA
rnacentral:tRNA from 1 species